AGGACGAACGGCUGGCGGCGUGCCUAACACAUGCAAGUCGAGCGGGGUGGUUCUGAAGGGCAACCGGAGGGAUCACCUAGCGGCGAACGGGUGAGUAACGCGUGGAUAACCUACCUCAAGGUCUGGGAUAACAGCUCGAAAGGGGCUGCUAAUACCGGAUGUGGUGCAUAUGCUGCAUGGUAGAUGCACUAAAGGGGAAACCCGCCAUGAGAUGGGUCCGCGUCCCAUCAGCUAGUUGGUGGGGUAAAGGCCUACCAAGGCGACGACGGGUAGCCGGCCUGAGAGGGUGACCGGCCACACUGGGACUGAGACACGGCCCAGACUCCUACGGGGGGCAGCAGUGGGGAAUAUUGCACAAUGGGCGAAAGCCUGAUGCAGCGACGCCGCGUGGGCGAAGAAGGCCUUCGGGUUGUAAAGCCCUGUCUGGAGGGACGAAGUAAUGACGGUACCUCCGGAGGAAGCCACGGCUAACUACGUG
rnacentral:rRNA from 1 species